rnacentral:rRNA from 1 species
GACAGAGGGUGCAAACGUUGUUCGGAAUUACUGGGCGUAAAGCGUGUGUAGGCGGCUUUGCAAGUCGGAUGUGAAAUCCCCGGGCUCAACCCGGGAAGUGCACCCAAAACUGCAGGGCUCGAGUACCGGAGAGGUUGGUGGAAUUCUCGGUGUAGAGGUGAAAUUCGUAGAUAUCGAGAGGAACACCGGUGGCGAAGGCGGCCAACUGGACGAGUACUGACGCUGAGACACGAAAGCGUGGGGAGCAAACAGG